rnacentral:rRNA from 1 species
UACGUAGGGGGCAAGCGUUGUCCGGAAUCAUUGGGCGUAAAGCGCGUGUAGGCGGCCCGAUAAGUCCGCUGUGAAAGUCCAGGGCUCAACCCUGGGAUGCCGGUGGAUACUGUCGGGCUCGAGUCCGGAAGAGGAGUGUGGAAUUCCUGGUGUAGCGGUGAAAUGCGCAGAUAUCAGGAGGAACACCAGUGGCGAAGGCGGCUACCUGGACCAGCACUGACACUGAGGCACGAAAGCGUGGGGAGCAAACAGG